rnacentral:rRNA from 1 species
AAGCUUAGUACGGCGAGUGAGCGGCAAAGCUCAAUUUGAAAUCUGGUACCUUUGGUGCCCGAGUUGUAAUUUGGAGAGUACCACUUUGGGACUGUACUUUGCCUAUGUUCCUUGGAACAGGACGUCAUGGAGGGUGAGAAUCCCGUGUGGCGAGGGUGUCAGUUCUUUGUAAAGGGUGCUCGAAGAGUCGAGUUGUUUGGGAAUGCAGCUCUAAGUGGGUGGUAAAUUCCAUCUAAAGCUAAAUACAGGCGAGAGACCGAUAGCGAACAAGUACAGUGAUGGAAAGAUGAAAAGAACUUUGAAAAGAGAGUGAAAAAGUACGUGAAAUUGUUGAAAGGGAAGGGCAUUUGAUCAGACAUGGUGUUUUGCGCCCCUUGCCUCUCGUGGGCUUGGGACUCUC